CAGAUAGCAAUAUUUGAGUGGCGCACGGGUGAGUAACACGUAGCUUACCUACCCUGAAGAGCGGGAUAACGUUCCGAAAGGAAUGCUCAUACCGCAUAAGCUCACGGUCUCUAGAGGGUUGUGAGAAAAUGGGGAAACUCGCUUCAGGAUGGGGCUGCGGCCCAUCAGCUGGUUGGUGAGGUAAAAGCUUACCAAGGCGACGACGGGUAGGGGACCUGAGAGGGUGACCCCCCACACUGGGACUGAGACACGGCCCAGACUCCUACGGGAGGCAGCAGUGAGGGAUAUUGCACAAUGGGCGCAAGCCUGAUGCAGCGACGCCGCGUGGAUGAAGAAGGCUUUCGGGUCGUAAAAUCCUUUUGCGCAUGACGAGGACAAGGACGGUAGUGCGCGAAUAAGUCUCGGCUAACUACGUGCCAGCAGCCGCGGUAAAACGUAGGAGACGAACGUUAUCCGGAGUUACUGGGCGUAAAGGGCGUGUAGGCGGUUGGAUAAGUUCGGCGUGAAAUUUCCCGGCUUAACCGGGGGAUGUCGUCGGAGACUGUCGGACUAGAGGGUGAUAGAGGCGUGUGGAAUUCCGGGUGU
rnacentral:rRNA from 1 species